GACGAACGCUGGCGGCGUGUUUAACACAUGCAAGUCGAACGAAGUGGCGAACGGGUGAGUAAUACGAGGGUAACCUGCCCUCCUUUUUGGGAUAAGCCUUGGAAACGGGGUCUAAUACCGAAUAAAGGGGGAUGGGCUCGCGGCCUAUCAGCUUGUUGGUGGGGUGAUGGCCUACCAAGGCGGUGACGGGUAGCCGGGCUGAGAGGGUGACCGGCCAGAUUGGGACUGAGGUACGGCCCAGAAGCCUACGGUAGGGAGCAGUGGGGGAUAUAGCACAAUGGGCGAAAGCCUGAUGCAGCGACGCCGCGUGGGGGAUGAAGGCUUUCGGGUUGUAAACCUCUUUGGCUAGCGAACCGGUAGGUGGAGAAGAAGCGCCGGCUAACUACGUGCCAGCAGCCGCGGUAAUUC
rnacentral:rRNA from 1 species